rnacentral:rRNA from 1 species
GGGCGUUAAGUUGCAGGGUAUAGACCCGAAACCCGGUGAUCUAGCCAUGGGCAGGUUGAAGGUUGGGUAACACUAACUGGAGGACCGAACCGACUAAUGUUGAAAAAUUAGCGGAUGACCUGUGGCUGGGGGUGAAAGGCCAAUCAAACCGGGAGAUAGCUGGUUCUCCCCGAAAGCUAUUUAGGUAGCGCCUCGUGAAUUCAUCUCCGGGGGUAGAGCACUGUUUCGGCUAGGGGGCCAUCCCGGCUUACCAACCCGAUGCAAACUGCGAAUACCGGAGAAUGUUAUCACGGGAGACACACGGCGGGUGCUAACGUCCGUCGUGAAGAGGGAAACAACCCAGACCGCCAGCUAAGGUCCCAAAGUCAUGGUUAAGUGGGAAACGAUGUGGGAAGGCCCAGACAGCCAGGAUGUUGGCUUAGAAGCAGCCAUCAUUUAAAGAAAGCGUAAUAGCUCACUGGUCGAGUCGGCCUGCGCGGAAGAUGUAACGGGGCUAAACCAUGCACCGAAGCUGCGGCAGCGAACGUAUCACUUAAAGCGAUUCAGCGGGUUACGAUUGACGGAGCGAAGCGACGUCAAAGCGUAUACAAAGUCGAGUCGGUUUAAGGAUACGUUCGUUGGGUAGGGGAGCGUUCUGUAAGCCUGUGAAGGUGGCCUGUGAGGGUUGCUGGAGGUAUCAGAAGUGCGAAUGCUGACAUAAGUAACGAUAAAGCGGGUGAAAAGCCCGCUCGCCGGAAGACCAAGGGUUCCUGUCCAACGUUAAUCGGGGCAGGGUGAGUCGACCCCUAAGGCGAGGCCGAAAGGCGUAGUCGAUGGGAAACGGGUUAAUAUUCCCGUACUUGGUGUUACUGCGAAGGGGGGACGGAGAAGGCUAUGUUGGCCGGGCGACGGUUGUCCCGGUUUAAGCGUGUAGGUGUGUGUUCCAGGUAAAUCCGGUUCACUUUAACACUGAGGCGUGAUGACGAGGCACUACGGUGCUGAAGCAACAAAUGCCCUGCUUCCAGGAAAAGCCUCUAAGCAUCAGGUAACAUCAAAUCGUACCCCAAACCGACACAGGUGGUCAGGUAGAGAAUACCAAGGCGCUUGAGAGAACUCGGGUGAAGGAACUAGGCAAAAUGGUGCCGUAACUUCGGGAGAAGGCACGCUGACAUGUAGGUGAAGUGAUUUACUCAUGGAGCUGAAGUCAGUCGAAGAUACCAGCUGGCUGCAACUGUUUAUUAAAAACACAGCACUGUGCAAACACGAAAGUGGACGUAUACGGUGUGACGCCUGCCCGGUGCCGGAAGGUUAAUUGAUGGGGUCAGCGCAAGCGAAGCUCCUGAUCGAAGCCCCGGUAAACGGCGGCCGUAACUAUAACGGUCCUAAGGUAGCGAAAUUCCUUGUCGGGUAAGUUCCGACCUGCACGAAUGGCGUAAUGAUGGCCAGGCUGUCUCCACCCGAGACUCAGUGAAAUUGAACUCGCUGUGAAGAUGCAGUGUACCCGCGGCAAGACGGAAAGACCCCGUGAACCUUUACUAUAGCUUGACACUGAACAUUGAGCCUUGAUGUGUAGGAUAGGUGGGAGGCUUUGAAGUGUGGACGCCAGUCUGCAUGGAGCCGGCCUUGAAAUACCACCCUUUAAUGUUUGAUGUUCUAACGUGGACCCGUAAUCCGGGUUGCGGACAGUGUCUGGUGGGUAGUUUGACUGGGGCGGUCUCCUCCUAAAGAGUAACGGAGGAGCACGAAGGUUGGCUAAUCCUGGUCGGACAUCAGGAGGUUAGUGCAAUGGCAUAAGC